CCCGAUAACAGAUAUUACAUAUUAUGCUAAUAUUGGGGCGUAAAAUCGGUCGGCCGAUAUUAUCGGACAUCCGUAAUUAUUACAUGACUGAUCUCCUGUGCUCUUUCCUAGAUGCUCAUAGGCCUGGCUGGCUACUUGACCGGGUAUGAUGGAACUUUCCCUUUUGUAAAACCAGGAGAUAAAUAUGAAGACCACAACUAUGUUGGGAUGAGAGGGUUUUGUGCAGUGUUGGGAUCCUUUCUGCCAAUCUUUGCCUACCUCAUAGUGUUGGAAUUGUCCCAGUCGAGCACUGCAGCUCUCAUCACUGCUGCCGUGCUCAUAUUUGGUGAGUAGUUGAGUGGUUCUAUAAGGCAAUGUCAAUAUUAAUAAUUGCAUCAUUUGGGUUAGUCCAUCUGCUCCAGUAAUACACAGACUGUACAGAGAACAUAAAAUGUUUUUUUGUUUCAAAGGUCUGAAUGAAUUGCGACUAAUCAUGAAUAAUUGUGAUUAAUUAUGAUCGGCAGUAAUCAUGAUUAAAUGUGAGUAAUCCACAGCUUCCAUGCGAAUAAUCAGAUUACAAAUUCUAAUACACGGCGUCCUCGGUUUACGACGUCCUCGACCUGCAGUGUUUUGUGGUCUCUCAUAAAUGUAUUGACAAAAGUCUUUUUCCAUCAUUACGACGUACCUCGUUUAAACUUGCCAACUAGUUCGCAUGGGAACUAGAUGGCAAGCGGAGAAAACAAAUGUGUCAUGACGGAGAGCUCUAUGCAGAAGAAGCACUUGUUUACAUUUGCCAGUUGUACACCAUACUUUGGAUAGUGCUACAUUCACUUUCUUUUAUUUGUGCCCUUCAUUUUAGCUCCCAAAUGUAAGUCAGACUCUGCUGUCUUUUUUUACGAUCUAGAUUAUGAUGUUAACACUGUGUUAGUGUAGGUGAGCAACAUAGGUACUUUUGUACAGGCAAAACUCGAGUUAUAUCGUG